UGGCUGUGGCUGUGGUGUAGGCCAGUGGCUACAGCUUCGAUUCGACCCUUGGCCUGGGAACCUCCAUAUGACACUGGAGCCGCCCAAGAAAUGGCAAAAAGACAAAAAAAAUUUACUUGACUGAAGUAGAGUUGAUUUACGAUGUUGUGUUAGUUUCAGGCGUACAGCAAAGUGACUCGUGUAUUUGUGUGUGUGUGUGUGUGUACACGUAUAUCUGAUGUGUAUGUAUAUACACACACAUCCUUUUUCAUACUCCUUUCCAGGGUGGUUUGUCACAGGAUGCUGAAUGUAGUUCGCUGUAGGGCAGGAGCCUGUUGUUUGUCCAUCCUGCAUACGUCUGCCUCUGCGAGACCCAAGCUCACUCCCAGUCCUUCCCUGCCCCACCCGCCUCCCCUUCGGCAGCCACAAGUCUGUUCCCUCUGUCCCAGAGUCUGCUUCUGCCUCGUAGACACGUUCGUUUGUGUUGAGUGUUUGUGAAGUUUCGUUAGAGUUGCUUUACGCGGGUGUGAUCAUGUCCGCUCUGCAACAACGUGAUUCAGGGACCCCUGUACCCACAGCCUUUCUCUCCCAGAUUCUCUUCCCACACAGAGGAUCCCAGAAUAUCGGGUAGAGGUCUCUGGGCUGCACGGCAGGUCCCCACUGGCCAGGACAACUCAGCGUACAGAUGCCAGUCCCAAACCCCAGGCUAUCUCUCCUCCCCCACAACUGUCCGCUUUGGUAACCGUACGCUUGUUUUCGAAGUCUGCCUGUCUGUUUCUGUUCUGCAGAUCAGUUUGUGCCACAUUUGAGACGCCACGUAUAAAUGAUAUCAUGUGACAUUUGUCUUCCACUGUCUGACUGACCUCACUUAGCAGGAGCAUCUCUAGGUCCGUCCCUGUUGCUGCAAACGGCAUCAUUUCACUCUUUUUACGGCUAACACUCCAUCGUGUAUAUGGACUACGUCUUCUUGAUCCAGUCCUCUGUUGAUGGACGUUUGGGGUGCUUCCAUGUCUCAGCUGUUGUGCAUAGAGCUGCAGUGAAUACUAGGGCGCACGUAUCUUUGUGAAUUACUGGUUCCUCCAGAGAGAGGCCCAGGCGUGGGAUUGCUGGUGGCAGUUCUGGUUUUAGUUUUUGCGUCCCCUCCGUACUGUUCCCCACAGUGGCAGCACCAGGUGACCUUCCCACCAGCAGUGUAGGUAGGUGGUUUUCUGAUCCCUGGCCUGGAGGACGAGAGUCCAGAGGGAAAGAGAAACUUUCCAUCCCCUCUUCCCUUCCGUGCAGUUCACGGGAUCCACAAACAACGCCUCCGGGAGAGGAACUGUUUUUAUCCUCAACACACUGAGUUGGAACCGCUAUUAAGAAAACUGCACAAGAACCCAGCUGGGAAGUGAAAGAGCCAAAACGCACUCCCACGCCGCGUUACUCCACAGCCUGCUCACUGCCACGUGUUACUACCCCACGGCUACGGGCGAGGGCUCGCUGCCUGGGGGGCACGGCAGCCAGCACCGCAGGCCCAGCUUUUGAGGAAAGAGGAGGCUUUGUUGCCAGGCCCAUGGCCAGGAAACAGGAGGCAGGGCUUCCAUCUGUCUUUCCCGUCCAGGGUUCAGGGUAAAAUUUAAGGGGUUCAGGGGACUUCAGACGUGGAAGCCAAUGGGCUCGUCUCAGUCUGUAGAAGCUGCUGGACGCCAGACUUUCCUCAUUGAAGGACGUCUCCCUUCCUCAAGGGCCCUGCCUGUAACACUUGCAUCCUUUGGGUCGCAGACUGAAGAGUCUUGGUUCCAGGGUCCCCUGAGAACGUGGGUUCCCAGGCUGGGGGUCCAAUCAGAGCUACAGCUGCUGGCCUCCACCACAGCUCACAGCUACGCCAGAUCCGAGCCUUGUCUGUGACCUAAACCACAGCUCACAGCAAUGCUGGAUCCUUCACCCACCAGAGGCCAGGGAUCAAACUUGCAUCCUCAUGGAUCCUCGUCGGCUUCAUUACCACAAGGGGAACUCUCUCGGGUCUCAUUUUAAAACCCAUUCCUGUUGAUGGAUGAGGUCUACGUAUAUCCUCAGGUGUCUUGAGGGACUUGUGAUCCCCCCGCUUCCCCCCCCACCACACACACACACAGCCCUUCCACACGGAUGGCCGGUUGGGGCUGGAGAAACACAGUUCCCUCCAUCUCUUCAGCACCCCCCACCAGGGGGUGAGAAGCAGCCCUGAGUGUGCAAGGACCUCCCCACCCCUCCGUGUUCGUCUCUCUCCCUUCAUCCUCUCCAUCCCCUGCGUCCAGGACACCUCCGAGCCCUCUCCCUGCACUGUCCCCGCUGAUGAGCAGCAAAACCCCUGGCUGACCACGCUGCCUCCACACCAGCCCUGGACGACUUUCUCCUUUUUAAAAAUCUUCCGCCAUGUUCACUUGACCCAAGGAACCCUUGUGUGACCACGUCGAAGUUUCAUCGGCAUCCCAAGGACAAGCCCCGCGCUCCAGCCUCCGACUCGCUGUGCGGGGGUCUCGGGUGUGCCUCGCAGUGACAGCGCUUCUCCGUCUGAAAGUUACCUUGAUCACAUACCCUUGACACAUUUCAGGAUUUCUUAUGAUCGACGGUGGCGAGAGAGGUUGCCGGCAGCCAAGCGUCCCAAACACACCUUGAAAUGUUCCCAUAACUAGUCGAGUCUGUUUUCCGAAUUGAUUUUACGCCGUUAAGAUGGAAUCAACUGCAAACAUCCCACCCUGUCCGUUGCUGAGCUACAUCUCACGGCAGGGGCAGGUCUUGUCGUGGUGGGGGUGGGUCCUGUGGCGGGGACGGGUCUUGUCACAGUGGGGAUGGGUCUUUUCAUGGCGGGGACGGAUCUUGUUGUUGUGGGGACGGGUCUUUUCAUGGCGGGGAUGGGUCCUGUCAUGGUGGGGACGGGUCUUCUUGUUGUGGGCAUGGGUCCUGUCACAGUGGGGACGGGUCUUUUCAUGUCGGGGAUGGGUCUUGUUGCGGGGAUGGGUCUGGUCACAGCAGGGAUGUGCCAGGGGUUGCAGAUAAAGGGCACUGGUCAGCUUGUAGAUGUUGUGCGUAUGGAGCUGCUGUAUAUAUACCCUUGCAUUCACAUUUUUCUCAGUGUAAGUCCUUUUUUGUAGAUUGAACAGCUCAGAGUGGGAAAUUUGGGUCAAACGGUAAAAGUGUGUUUAAUUAUAAAAGAGAGGGACCAGAGUUCCCUGGUGGCUCAGCGGGUUAAGGAUCCAGCGUUGUCACUGCAGUGGGUUCGAUCUCUGGCCCUGGAACCUCCACAUGCUGCAGGCACGGCCAAAAGAAAUUUUUUAAUAAAAAAUUUUAAAAAGAGACAGACUGUCUUCCUGGUGGAUGCGCCAUUCCACACCCCUCAGCAGCGGUGGGAGUUGCAGCUGCCCCACAACCCUUGGGAGGGUCAGUGGUGCUCCCGAGGCUCCCAGAGGCCAUGUGAUGUCUGACUGCACCCAGCUUCAGUCCUCCCGGGGCUGGUGAUGCAAACCUUUUCAAGUGCCUCCCCAGACCCUUCCUGGUGAACCGUCUGUGCAAGUCUCCUUUUUCAUUUUCUGAUUUUGAUUUCAGGCUGCACCCAUGGCAUGUGAAAAUUCCCAGGCCAGGGAUCAAACCCUCAUCACAGCAGUGACCUGAGCCUCUGCUGUGACAACAUCAGACCCUUAACCCUCUGUGCCACCAGGGAACUCCUGCAAGUCUCUUUUUUUUUAGAAGUAAAAGUGUAUAUAUGUAAGGAGUUCCCAUCGUGGCGCAGUGGUUAACGAAUCUGACGAGGAACCAUGAGGUUUCGAGUUCGAUCCCUGGCCUUGCUCAGUGGGUUCAGGAUCUGGCGUUGGCAUGAGCUGUGGUGUAGGUCGCAGACGCGGCUUGGUUCCCGUGUUGCUGUGACUGUGGUGUAGGCCGGUAGCUACAGCUCCGAUCAGACCCCUAGCCUGGAACCUCCAUGUGCCGCGGGUGUGGCCCUAGAAAAGGCAAAAAGACCACAAAAAAGUGCACAUAUGUAAGGUGUACAGCAUGAGUUGUUAUACACACACAUAGUGAAAUGAUUACCACACUAAUUCACAAACACAGUUGCCCUUGAGAGCCCCUGAAAUCUCCCCUCUGAGGAAAUGUCCAGUAUUCCCCACGCUGUUAUUAACCGCAGUCACCGGGCUGCACGCAAGCUCUCUCGACUCACGCACCCCACAGACCUUCAGCCAUCCUCCCCCCCACAACCGCAGUUCUACCCCCGGCUUCUAUGCAUUUGCCGUUUUCAACUUCCACGGGUGUGAAAUCUUUUUUUCUUUUUCUUUCUGUGCCUGGCUUAUGUAAUGUACCCUGCUGUCCUCCAAGCUCACCUGUGUUUGUUUCAAAUGGAAGGACCCCUUUCCUGUUUAAGGCUGCGUCAUAUUCCAUCGUACCUGGACCCCACCAUUUCUUUAUCAGUUCGUCUGUCUGUGGACACGUAGGCUGUUCGGGUCUUUUGCCUGCUUGCUGACUGGCUCAUUUGUCUUUAUGCAGAGAUGUCUUUGUUCCUCUCCCCUCACUGAUUUUAUGAGUAAGCACAUGGAAGCACAGAGAGGUUAAGUGACUUGCCUGAAUAUGCACAGCUGAUAACCAGCAGAGCCAGAAAACAGGAAUCCACGCCACCUCCUUGGUGGGAAGAACAGCAGAGAGGAGAGAGGCCCUUACUCCUUGUGAGUGUGUGUGUGUGUGUGUGUGUGUGUGUGUGUGCACUCAGUUCUGACUUUUACAAACAUGCGGCCAUUCCAUGUUCUGAGACACGCUCCAGACACGGAUUGUUCAAGGAUCUCCACAGGGCCUGGCCGGUACCCACCUCGGGGCCUUUGCACCUGCUAUGCCCUCAGCCAGGAAAGGGGAAGGACUUUCUCUUUCCCGUCAUCCCCUUCUCAUGUCAAGUCUCAGCCCCCACAUCACAGCCUCCGAGGGCCAUGUCCAAACUUACCCUCUGGGGUUGGCUCAUUAAGCUGCUGACCGCCCCUCUUUCCAAGGCGGGUUUAAACUCUACGUGCUCAGGCAGCUUGUUCAGGAUGGGUCAUCCUUCAUCCACCACUGGCUCCCGGGAGGGAGGGACCUGGGUGGGCCUGGCCUCACCAGGUGAACCUUCCAAAGCUGAGCCUUGGCUCAGACUGGUCAGCUGCUCCCAGAGAAACACAGAGACAGGGUCCCGCCGGCCUGGACGAGGAAGAAGCAGCUGCGGUUGUGUGCAUCCCUGGAGGAGGACGCAGCCCCCCUCGGACAGGCAGAGAGACGACUCGCCCCCGAGCCCAGCAGCCGCAGGGGAAGGUCUGCCUGCAGCCAGGCGGGGGCGUGUGCGCGCACAUGCGCGUGUGUGCCCUCGGGUAAGGCCCCGGCCUGGAGAACACGGUGACCGACUCAGCGACCCACGCACGGGACCCUGAGCCGGGAAGCCGGCAUACGGUACCCUUUGUGCCGCCUUAAGCGGCUGAGUCGGUGGUGACUUGUGACACAGCAGCAGAAAACCAGCCCGCCUUCCACGGGCCAUUCCACGGACACUGCCUGACCUGCUCACGGCUGCCCCCGAAGCCCCCACGCAGGGCGGAGGCGGGGGUCCAGGAGGUCUGCUCGGCCCCCCUCGCACCCCCAGACCCUCGUGAUGGGGGCUUCCGUUCUCGAGUUAGAGGGAACGCUUUGGGGCCAUCGGUGAGUUAUGGGACCAGCCGGGUGUCACAGACCUGGUCCCCAGCCUGGCUUUGCUCCUUCUGGCUGGUGUCAGAAGCUCUGUGACCCCAAGCGGUUCCUUCAUAAAGUGGGGCCCGUUCAGUGCCUUCCCCGUGGGCUCGUGGAAUUGAAUAACUGGAUCUGUUUCUAAAGCACUUGGCACAGGGUCUGGAAACGCCGCCGACCUGUUACCUGAAGUCACUGCAUCCAGACCUGCCCUCCCACAUGUAUAACAUCUGUGCCAGGGCACACGCAGGCGCUGUUAAAUGUCUCUCUCACAUACACACACACACAGAGUCCCAAACAGACACCCUCCCCCUUCCAAAGCCCAGAUCAUCAGCAUUUGUUCAGUAGGCACGUCAUUGACACUGAGCAGCCUCAAGACGCUGUGCAGGACGCAUAGGGCAGCAAACUACAUCCUUGCAAAAUACAGCUGCGAAAUGACCGAUUCUCAAACGGUAGAGGGAACACUGCUUAGACACAGAAGGCAGCGGUACAUUUGCCAGACAGAUGGGGAGCGUCGGCGGGUCCCUCCCUGCUCUGGAAAGCUUGCUCGCCCGCGCGCGCGCGCGCUGUGCGUGCCAGGCUGCGUUCAAGAGCACCGUUCCCAUCCCCUGGUUGGAAUCUAGCCUGGCUUUCAGCUCGGUGGAAAGGCCGUGGGAUUCUGGAGAGCGGAGGGUCUGUCCUGGCCGCUUGGCCUCGGGUGACAAUUCUUUUUGUUCGAAUCUAAGCAUGGUUGCUCGACAGCCUUGUGCCGGUUUCUGCCGCACAGCAUAGUGACCCACUUGCACACAUGCACACACUCAUUUUUUCACACUGUCUUCCAUCGCAGUCCCUCCCAAGAGACUGGACACGGUUCCCCGUGCUGUACAGCAGGACCUCAUCGCCUAUGCAUUUCCUGUGAAGAUUCUAACGGCUUCUCGCCAUCUGUCCAUAUUCACUGGGGCCCGUCCUGGGUUGAAGGGAGUGAGGCUCUCGGCUUGGGUACAAAUUUUAAGUGUGGGGGUGAGGAGAGUGCAGACAUCUCAGUGAUCAAGAGAGAUAAUUUUUUUUUUUUUGGUCUUUUUAGGGCCACACCUGCAGCAUAGGGAGGUUCCCAGUCUAGGGGAAUCCAGCUUGGAAUCAGAGCUGUAGCCACCAGCCUACCCCAGAGCCACAGCAAUGCCAGAUCCGAACUGCGUCUGCGACCUACACCACAGCUCACAGCAACACCGGAUCCUUAACCCACUGAGCGAGGCCAGGAAUGGAACUCGCAACCUCAUGGUUCCUGGAUGGAUUCUUUUCCAAUGUACCACGAUGGGAACGCCAAGAGAUAAUAUUUUAAUGCAGCGUUUCCUUAAAAUUUCCCAGUUAAAAUGGUGGGAAAAAUCAACGAGGAAGAAAUGCCCACAUGUUAACGGAAGACGGGCUCUCGCAGGGCUGCGAGUAGGGCAAGGUGAGGCGACGAGUCCUGCAAAGCUCAGGGUGGAAAUGUUGAUGUUGCGCUCCUCACGGACUGGAGGCAUUAUCCUUUCUUUUUUAAGCAAACGGCACUGGCACCGGGGCCUUCUCGUGGCUCAGGAGCCUGAGAAUCAGGCAUGAUCCCUGCAGCAGUUCCCUUCGCUGCUGCAGUGUGGCUGCGCGACCUGGCCGGGGACUUUCGCGUGCCUCUGCUGCGCAGUAUUGCCCUGAGUCCUGAGGACUCGGCUUCCCUUACGUGGUGCGCCCAGGUGAACACCUCGGGGGCCCGCCAGCCCCUCCCCCCGCAGCAUCUCUGAUCCUUUCUCUCUGUCCCCACCGUGAAUACCCUCGUUCUUUCCACCACCGCGUCUGGCUGGAGCCGGCACAGCAAACUCCCCGCCACCUGCUGCAUCCUGGUCUGGACACGACCUCCAAGCUGCUGGCACUGAAACUCGGGGUGACUUCCUCCGCAAACCCUCCCCCCAAAGCCCACUCCCAUCAUCCUCUCCCACCGUCUAGAUGUCUCCCCCCUGCCUCCCCCACCCCCAUCCCCACCAUCGCCCAGUUUGGGUUAUAGCAACUGAUGCUGCUAUUUUCUCACCUCUUUUCAGUUCUCUGCGCCAUUUCCCAGGGUGGGGGACCGGUCACACAAGUGUGAUGUCAUUUCAGAUGGUCCGGCUCCAAGGACAAUUAAACUUUACCAUACAAUGUUAUACCCUUGGGAGUUCCCGUGGUGGCUCAGUGGAUUAAGAACCCGACACAGUGUCUGCGAGGAUGCGGGUUCAAUCCCUGGCCUCGCUCAGUAGGUUAAGGACCUGGCACUGCCACAAGCUGUGACUUAGAUAACAGAUGCGGCUCGGAUCCCGCAUUCCUGUGGCUGUGGUGUAGGUGGGCAGCUUCAGCUCCCACUCGACCCCUCGCCUGGGAACCUCCAUGUGCUGCAGGUGCCACUGUAAAAGGAAAAAAAAAAAAA
ensembl:lncRNA